UUUAGUUCCCUCACAAGUAAUUACUUUUUUGGGUUUCGACUCAACUCAGUUCUUAUGCAAAUAUCUGUGACGACGGAACGAGCUGAGAAGAUAAAACGCAUGUGUUAUGAGCUGCUACAAGCUUCUCACCCAAAAAUAUAGGAUGUUUCUCUGGUUUUGGGCACUCUCACUUCGAGUCUCCCGGGUGUAAUGUACGGUCAGUUGCAUUAUCGCUGGCUGGAAAUGGAUAAAAGCGAUGCCCUCAAGUUAAACCGGGGUAAUUUUGACAAGACAAUGACCCUGUCUUCAGAGGCCAUACAUGAUUUACAAUGGUGGCAGUCAUCAAUAUGCACGACUUACAGGCAAAUUACUCACAAUGGACCUAGCAUAUGCCUAACAACAGAUGCGUUGUUGACAGUGUGGGGCUGCUCCCUAAAUGGUGUAUGUGCUAGGGGUAACUGGACGCCCUUGGAGGCUUCAAAUCAUAUAAAUUGUUUGGAAAUUCUUGCGGUAUUGUUUGCCCUUGAGUCGUUUUCUUCAGAACUAAAAGGUCAGCAUGUUAAGGUAUUCAUUGAUAAUACUACCGCUGUAGCUUGCAUUAAUCAAAUGGGAACAUGCCACUCAAGGUCUAUUCACAAGUUGACAUGCAAUGUCUGGACCUGCUGCAUUUCGUAUGAUAUUUGGUUGACAGCAGCGCACAUUCCAGGAUUACAAAAUGUCACUGCGGAUCGAGAAUCUCGAAUAUCACGCAGAGAAACAGAAUGGCAGUUGAACAAGACUGUUUACGUGUGCCAUUCAAAACUAGAGGUAACUUGAUUUGUUUGCGUCAAGGUUGAAUAAUCAAGUGAAACCCUAUGUUUCAUACAACCUGACCCUUAUGCUAUAGCUGUCAACGCCUUUACGAUAUCGUGGGCCAAGUAUACAUUUUAUGCGUUCCCGCCUUUUAGCAUAAUUUCGCAAGUGUUACAAAAAAUAGUACAAGAGAAAAGCACAGGACUAGUCUUAGUCCCUAACUGGCCAACACAAAGUUGGUGGCCAGCUUUAAUGCAGAUGCUAAUAGCACAUCCUGUGACAUCUCGUUUGGUAGACAUCCACUCGUUGCUAGGUUUGUUAAAGGUGUAUUUGUUGCAAGACCAGCUCUUCCUAGAUAUGCCAUGGUCUGGGACGUUUCAGUGGUAUUCAAACAUCUUCGAAAUCUCCACCCUCCGAAAGCUCUCAGUUUGAAAUCAUUAACACUAAAAACAGUAAUGCUUUUAGCUUUUUUAUCUGGUCAGCGAUGCCAAACACUUCGUGCAUUGGAUAUUUCUCAUAUGGAGAAGAAAGAAGAUCGAAUAGUUUUUCAUGUGCACCAACUGCUCAAAACAUCUAAACCUGGUAAGCAUGCUGCUCCUUUACAAUUUCGGGCUUAUCCACCAGAGCCUGGGUUAUGUGUAUUCAAUUACUUGUCCCAUUAUCUAAAUGCCACUGCACCCAUACGAAAUGGUGCAAGACAACUCCUAUUGAGCUAUCAAAAACCUUAUCAUUCGGUCACUUCAGCGACCAUUUCUCGAUGGUUAAAAUAUGUGUUAAAGGAUGCUGGUAUAAAUACUGAGGUUUACAGUGCACACAGUACUAGAACUGCAUCAACUUCUGCGGCGAACGCAUUGAAUAUUUCUAUGGACACUAUUAUGAAUGCAGCUACAUGGCGUAAUGAACAAACUUUUCAAACAUUUUAUAAUAAACCAAUUGAGGCGAAGAACUUUGGCAAUGAUCUACUUUCUGCCAUUUGUGAGACAUGAAAUGUGAAAUUUCAAUUAUAUUAUUUUGUUAUUAGUUAUUGCUCAUGUCCACAUUGCUUUAAAAUCUCACAUGACUUCCUAGUGACGUAGAACAGUGACGAAAUAGAAUUAGAAAAUUAAACGAGACUUACCUGAAGUCGAAGUUUGAUUGAAAUUAUAUGAGUUACUGUUCAGGAACUAGGAAGUCACCCACCCAACUACUAACUUACUUCUUUUCAAAUGAUGUUAAAUACUAAUUGCCUCCCAAUAUGUAUGUGGACGUUCGCAAAUUUUUUAAAAACUGAUCUUGAUAUCGCGGGCUCUAUCUCACAUGACUUCCUAGUUCCUGAACAGUAACUCAGAAUUUCAAUCAAACUUCGACUUCAGAUAGGAAAUGAUCUUUUCUUACCUACCAUUUGUUAGCAAGAAAAACGAAGAAGAAAGCUGGUUAUGUUUCUGUUUUGGCAAACUACAUGGAUAUUUUUGCUAUCAUCAAUUUUCAUAACACUAUAACAAUCAAUCUAUUUUAAUUUAUGUUUAUAAAAACGAUAUUUAAGUUUACGUGAUUUGAAACAUUGCAACACACCAUUAACGAUUACAUUUCGACGUCAAAGAAGUACAAUUUCCAUUAAAAAUAAAUGAAUCUAGUAAAGGCGCUGUAGAUAGAUAAAACACAUACGGAACAUACCACCUAAUCAUCUUCUAACUUUUCUCAUGUGCAUGUAGCUAGUAACUGGGUAAUAUUUUUUAAAGUGUCAAAGAAGGGAAUUUACUUUCCAAGUAUAUCACGAAGAUUAUCGCUCAUGUAAUAAGGUUUUUCAGCAGAACCAUCGUUCCGUUCACAAUCUUCAACUGUUAAAAAAUGUAGGAAGAUAUGUAUAAAACUACGUUCUAAUAUGAUGAAAAAAUUUUACUUUUUAAAACUAUUA